CAAGAAGUUGCAGAAAGGCUCCUAAACCAUUUACGCUGAACUUUAUUCCAAGUUGCUCUCGGCGGGCGGCUUCCCCUCACGGGACCGCAGACCCCGCCUUUCAGGAGGUAAGGGGCAGACCCGCCGGAGGGCUACGAAACUCUGUAUUAUUAGUGGCUAUCUGUGAGUAUAAACUUUAAAUAAGUUA
rnacentral:misc_RNA from 1 species